rnacentral:rRNA from 1 species
AGAGUUUGAUCCUGGCUCAGAUUGAACGCUGGCGGAAUGCUUUACACGUGCAAGUCGAACGAUGAACCUUAGCUUGCUAAGGGGAUUAGUGGCGAACGGGUGAGUAAUAUAUCGGAACGUACCUUGUAAUGGGGGAUAACUAGUCGAAAGAUUAGCUAAUACCGCAUACGCCCUGAGGGGGAAAGUAGGGGAUCUUCGGACCUUACGUUAUAAGAGCGGCCGAUAUCUGAUUAGCUAGUUGGUGGGGUAAUGGCCUACCAAGGCGACGAUCAGUAGCUGGUCUGAGAGGACGACCAGCCACACUGGAACUGAGACACGGUCCAGACUCCUACGGGAGGCAGCAGUGGGGAAUUUUGGACAAUGGGCGCAAGCCUGAUCCAGCCAUUCCGCGUGAGUGAAGAAGGCCUUCGGGUUGUAAAGCUCUUUCGCAAGGGAAGAAAACUUACCAUCGUGCCAGCAGCCGCGGUAAUACGUAGGGUGCGAGCGUUAAUCGGAAUUACUGGGCGUAAAGCGUGCGCAGGCGGUUUUGUAAGUCAGAUGUGAAAUCCCCGAGCUCAACUUGGGAACUGCGUUUGAAACUACAAGACUAGAAUAUGUCAGAGGGGGGUAGAAUUCCACGUGUAGCAGUGAAAUGCGUAGAGAUGUGGAGGAAUACCAAUGGCGAAGGCAGCCCCCUGGGAUAAUAUUGACGCUCAUGCACGAAAGCGUGGGGAGCAAACAGGAUUAGAUACCCUGGUAGUCCACGCCCUAAACGAUGUCUACUAGUUGUUUGGUGGGAGUAAAAUCCAUGAGUAACGCAGCUAACGCGUGAAGUAGACCGCCUGGGGAGUACGGU